ACAUCCAGAGAACUUUCAGAGAUGGAUUGGUGCCUUCGGGAACUCUGAGACAGGUGCUGCAUGGCUGUCGUCAGCUCGUGUUGUGAAAUAGUUGGGUUAAGUCCGCAACGAGCGCAACCCCUAUCCUUUGUUGCCAGCGAUUCGGUCGGGAACUCAAAGGAGACUGCCGGUGAUAAACCGGAGGAAGGUGGGGAUGACGUCAAGUCAUCAUGGCCCUUACGAGUAGGGCUACACACGUGCUACAAUGGCGUAUACAAAGAGAAGCGACCUCGCGAGAGCAAGCGGACCUCAUAAAGUACGUCGUAGUCCGGAUUGGAGUCUGCAACUCGACUCCAUGAAGUCGGAAUCGCUAGUAAUCGUAGAUCAGAAUGCUACGGUGAAUACGUUCCCGGGCCUUGUACACACCGCCCGUCACACCAUGGGAGUGGGUUGCAAAAGAAGUAGAUAGCUUAACCUUCGGGAGGGCGUUUACCACUUUGUGAUUCAUGACUGGGGUGAAGUCGUAACAAGGUAAGCGUAGCGAG
rnacentral:rRNA from 1 species